rnacentral:rRNA from 1 species
UGGGGAAUUUUGGACAAUGGGCGCAAGCCUGAUCCAGCAAUGCCGCGUGCAGGAUGAAGGCCUUCGGGUUGUAAACUGCUUUUGUACGGAGCGAAAAGGUCUGCCCUAAUACGGUGGGCUCAUGACGGUACCGUAAGAAUAAGCACCGGCUAACUACGUGCCAGCAGCCGCGGUAAUACGUAGGGUGCGAGCGUUAAUCGGAAUUACUGGGCGUAAAGCGUGCGCAGGCGGUUAUAUAAGACAGGUGUGAAAUCCCCGGGCUCAACCUGGGACCUACAUUUGUGACUGUAUAGCUAGAGUACGGUAGAGGGGGAUGGAAUUCCGCGUGUAGCAGUGAAAUGCGUAGAUAUGCGGAGGAACACCGAUGGCGAAGGCAAUCCCCUGGACCUGUACUGACGCUCAUGCACGAAAGCGUGGGGAGCAAACA